AGAGUUUGAUCAUGGCUCAGAACGAACGCUGGCGGCGUGCUUAACACAUGCAAGUCGCGUGCGCAGUUCCUGUAGCAAUACAGGGAUGGGCGCACGGCGCACGGGUGCGUAACACGUGGGCAAUCUGCCCUCCGAUGGGGAAUAACCCCGCGAAAGCGGGGCUAAUUCCGCAUAACAUUCCUUGGACUCACGUUCGAGGAUUCAAAGCAGCAAUGCGUCGGAGGAGGAGCCCGCGCCCGAUUAGCUAGUUGGUGAGGUAACGGCUCACCAAGGCAAUGAUCGGUAGCUGGUCUGAGAGGAUGGCCAGCCACACUGGAACUGAGACACGGUCCAGACUCCUACGGGAGGCAGCAGUGGGGAAUCUUGCACAAUGGGCGAAAGCCUGAUGCAGCGACGCCGCGUGGGGGAUGAAGCUUUUCGGAGUGUAAACCCCUUUCGCCUGGGACGAAUGCCCGCAAGGGAGUGACGGUACCAGGAUAAGAAGCCCCGGCUAACUACGUGCCAGCAGCCGCGGUAAGACGUAGGGGGCCAGCGUUGUUCGGAAUUACUGGGUGUAAAGGGUUCGUAGGCGGUGCGGCAAGUUGGGAGUGAAAUCUCUGGGCUCAACCCAGAGGCUGCUUCCAAAACUGCUGUGCUUGAGUGUGAGAGAGGCUCGUGGAAUUGCAGGUGUAGCGGUGAAAUGCGUAGAUAUCUGCAGGAACACCCGUGGCGAAAGCGGCGAGCUGGAUCACUACUGACGCUGAGGAACGAAAGCUAGGGGAGCAAACAGGAUUAGAUACCCUGGUAGUCCUAGCCCUAAACGAUCAGGACUUGGGGUGCCGCCCGUUCGGGCGUCGUCCCGGAGCUAACGCGUUAAGUCCUGCACCUGGGGAGUACGGUCGCAAGACUGAAACUCAAAGGAAUUGACGGGGGGCCCGCACAAGCGGUGGAACAUGUGGUUCAAUUCGACGCUACGCGAGGAACCUUACCU
rnacentral:rRNA from 1 species